GAUGAACGCUGGCGGCGUGCCUAAUACAUGCAAGUCGAGCGAACAGAUGAGGAGCUUGCUCCUCUGACGUUAGCGGCGGACGGGUGAGUAACACGUGGAUAACCUACCUAUAAGACUGGGAUAACUUCGGGAAACCGGAGCUAAUACCGGAUAAUAUAUUGAACCGCAUGGUUCAAUAGUGAAAGACGGUUUUGCUGUCACUUAUAGAUGGAUCCGCGCCGCAUUAGCUAGUUGGUAAGGUAACGGCUUACCAAGGCAACGAGGCGUAGCCGACCUGAGAGGGUGAUCGGCCACACUGGAACUGGGACACGGUCCAGACUCCUACGGGAGGCAGCAGUAGGGAAUCUUCCGCAAUGGGCGAAAGCCUGACGGAGCAACGCCGCGUGAGUGAUGAAGGUCUUCGGAUCGUAAAACUCUGUUAUUAGGGAAGAACAAAUGUGUAAGUAACUAUGCACGUCUUGACGGUACCUAAUCAGAAAGCCACGGCUAACUACGUG
rnacentral:rRNA from 1 species